rnacentral:rRNA from 1 species
AUUCCAGCUCCAAUAGCGUAUAUUUAAGUUGUUGCAGUUAAAAAGCUCGUAGUUGGAUUUCGGGUGGGACGCAGCGGUCUCGCAUUGCGUUUGUACUGCUGCAGCCCUCCUUCUUGCCGGGGGCGGCCCUUCGGACUUCACUGUCUGGGGGUCAGAGUCGGCGAUGUUACUUUGAGUAAAUUAGAGUGUUCAAAGCAAGCUUACGCUCUGAAUAUAAUAGCAUGGGAUAACACGACAGGACUCUGGCCUAUCGUGUUGGUCUAUAGGACCAGAGUAAUGAUUAAGAGGGACAGUCGGGGGCAUUCGUAUUCCGUUGUCAGAGGUGAAAUUCUUGGAUUUACGGAAGACGAACAUCUGCGAAAGCAUUUGCCAAGGAUGUUUUCAUUA